UACGGGGGGAGCAAGCGUUGUUCGGAUUUACUGGGCGUAAAGGGCGCGUAGGCGGCGCAACAAGUCACUUGUGAAAUCUCCGGGCUUAACCCGGAGCGGCCAAGUGAUACUGUCGUGCUAGAGUGCGGAAGGGGCUACUGGAAUUCUCGGUGUAGCGGUGAAAUGCGUAGAUAUUGGGAGGAACACCAGUGGCGAAGGCGGCUCACUGGACCGGUUCCGACGCUGAGGCGCGAAAGCGUGGGGAGCAAACGGG
rnacentral:rRNA from 1 species